rnacentral:rRNA from 1 species
UACGAAGGGGGCUAGCGUUGCUCGGAUUUACUGGGCGUAAAGGGCGCGUAGGCGGAUGUUUAAGUUGGGGGUGAAAGCCCGGGGCUCAACCUCGGAAUAGCCUUCAAUACUGGACAUCUUGAGUACGGGAGAGGUGAGUGGAACUCCGAGUGUAGAGGUGAAAUUCGUAGAUAUUCGGAAGAACACCAGUGGCGAAGGCGACUCACUGGCCCGUUACUGACGCUGAGGCGCGAAAGCGUGGGGAGCAAACAGG